rnacentral:rRNA from 1 species
UUGGAGGGCAAGUCUGGUGCCAGCAGCCGCGGUAAUUCCAGCUCCAAUAGCGUAUAUUAAAGUUGUUGCAGUUAAAAAGCUCGUAGUUGAAUUUCGGGAUCAACUUACUGGUCGUGCCUAUGGUACGCACUGGUUUUGUUGGUUUCUCCCUUCUGACGAAUCACGAUGUCAUUAAUUUGAUGUCCUGGGGAAUCAGGACUGUUACUUUGAAGAAAUUAGAGUGUUUAAAGCAGGC